UGUGCCUUUGUUUAAGAAGGUUAAGCAGAAAGAGAAAGGAAGGCUCCAAAUGCUGAUCACUAGGAAAGAGGGAACUGACCUUGUAGAUCCAGGAUAUGCCCAGCCGUCAAUGGGUAGAUUUUAAGGAACAUCUUAAAGGAGACUUUUAAAAUGGAGAGAAUUCCAAGUUCCUAAAUGAAAUACAAUGUACUUGAUAUCCAAAUUAUCGUACUUUCUUUACAAUCUUCAGAGAUAAUAUAGUGUCAGUGAAAAGAAUGUGCUCACACUAAUUCACAUUAAAAGUGAAUUCUCCCACUUUGUGAAAAUAUAUUCAUGGCAUGUGGGUGCUGCUGGCUGAACCAGUUUUCUUUAUUUACAGGAUGAGGGCAUUGCUGACU